AUUGAACGCUGGCGGCAGGCCUAACACAUGCAAGUCGAGCGGAUGAAGGGAGCUUGCUCCUGGAUUCAGCGGCGGACGGGUGAGUAAUGCCUAGGAAUCUGCCUGGUAGUGGGGGAUAACGUCCGGAAACGGGCGCUAAUACCGCAUACGUCCUGAGGGAGAAAGUGGGGGAUCUUCGGACCUCACGCUAUCAGAUGAGCCUAGGUCGGAUUAGCUAGUUGGUGGGGUAAAGGCCUACCAAGGCGACGAUCCGUAACUGGUCUGAGAGGAUGAUCAGUCACGCUGGAACUGAGACACGGUCCAGACGCCUACGGGAGGCAGCAGUUGUGAAUAUUGGACGAUUGGCGAAAGCCUGAGCCAGCCGUGCCGCGUGUGUGAAGAAGGGCCUCUGAUUUUAAAGCUCUCUAAAUUGGGAGGAAGAGCAGUAAGUUAAUACCUUGCUGUUUUGACGUUACCAACAGAAUAAGCAACGGCUAACUUCGUG
rnacentral:rRNA from 1 species